rnacentral:rRNA from 1 species
GCGCACCAGUCGAGAAAACUUUACAAUGCGGGAAACCGUGAUAAGGGAACCUCGAGUGCCGAUGCCCAGCAUUGGCUGUCCACAUGCCUAAAAAGCAUGUGUUAGCAAGGGCCGGGCAAGACCGGUGCCAGCCGCCGCGGUAACACCGGCGGCUCGAGUGGUAGCCACUUUUAUUGGGGUCUAAAGCGUCCGUAGCCGGACUUUGGUAAGUCUUCUGGGGAAAUCUGGCGGCUCAACCGUCA